rnacentral:rRNA from 1 species
CUACGUGCCAGCAGCCGCGGUAAUACGUAGGUCCCGAGCGUUGUCCGGAUUUAUUGGGCGUAAAGCGAGCGCAGGCGGUUAGAUAAGUCUGAAGUUAAAGGCUGUGGCUUAACCAUAGUACGCUUUGGAAACUGUUUAACUUGAGUGCAAGAGGGGAGAGUGGAAUUCCAUGUGUAGCGGUGAAAUGCGUAGAUAUAUGGAGGAACACCGGUGGCGAAAGCAGCUCUCUGGCUUGUAACUGACGCUGAGGCUCGAAAGCGUGGGGAGCAAACAGGAUUAGAUACCCUGGUAGUCCACGCCGUAAACGAUGAGUGCUAGGUGUUAGACCCUUUCCGGGGUUUAGUGCCGCAGCUAACGCAUUAAGCACUCCGCCUGGGGAGUACGACCGCAAGGUUGAAACUCAAAGGAAUUGACGGGGGCCCGCACAAGCGGUGGAGCAUGUGGUUUAAUUCGACGCAACGCGAAGAACCUUACCAGGUCUUGACAU